AUCAAGGGAGUAGCCGACGAUGGUCAUAUCGUAUCAGUGAUAUGGUGUCAUCGUGAUUAUGUCGUCAUUUCGAAACGUUUGUUUCCGGCAUAGUCUUAAUUUGCGAGACUUGUUUAAAAAUAAACAGGUCUUUUUCU
rnacentral:ncRNA from 1 species